AGAGGUUGUGGCUCCGUGGUAGAACGUCUGCUCAGCAUGCAGAACGUCGCUGGUUCAAUCCCGAGUAUCUCCA
rnacentral:tRNA from 1 species